CGCGUAGGCGGCUUGGCAAGUGGAUGGUGAAAUCCCUCGGCUUAACCGAGGAACUGCCGUCCAAACUGCUUUGCUUGAGGCCGGGAGAGGCGAGUGGAAUUCCCAGUGUAGCGGUGAAAUGCGUAGAUAUUGGGAGGAACACCAGUGGCGAAGGCGGCUCGCUGGACCGGUUCUGACGCUGAUGCGCGAAAGCGUGGGGAGCAAACG
rnacentral:rRNA from 1 species